rnacentral:pre_miRNA from 1 species
UUGCGUAGGCGUUGUGCACAGUCGGAACUGACAUCACUGUGUAUUUUGUCUACACAGCA